GAGUAUCUGUAUAGAUACUGUAUAGAGUAUCUGUACAGAGUAUCUGUAUAGAUACUAUAUAGAGUAUCUGUAUAGAGACUGUAUAGAGUAUCUGUAUAGAGACUGUAUAGAGUAUCUGUAUAGAUACUGUAUAGAGUAUCUGUACAGAGUAUCCGUAUAGAGUAUCUGUAUAGAUACUGUAUAGAGUAUCUGUAUAGAUCUACCAGCAGUUGUUUUUGAAGGCUGAGGGAGAACACUGUUAUACAAUUUGGUUAAAGUAUUUCCAAACAGGGAAAUGCAUAAUCAUGUGUGGAGUAGUGUCUUCGAUGUAGCCUAACUAUACUGGAGUAGUGUCCUCGAUGUAGCCUAACUAUGCUGGAGUAGUGUCUUCGAUGUAGCCUAACUAUACUGGAGUAGUGUCCUCGAUGUAGCCUAACUAUGCUGUAGUAGUGUCCUCGAUGUAGCCUAACUAUACUGGAGUAGUGUCCUCGAUGUAGCCUAACUAUGCUGUAGUAGAAAUACAGUAACUGUCAUACAGGUGUGUGGAAAUACAGUAACUGUCAUACAGGUGUGUGAAAAUACAGUAACUGUCAUAUAGGUGUGUGGAAAUACAGUAACUGUCAUAUAGGUGUGUGGAAAUACAGUAACUGUCAUACAGGUGUGUGGAAAUACAGUAACUGUCAUAUAGGUGUGUGGAAAUACAGUAACUGUCAUACAGGUGUGUGGAAAUACAGUAACUGUCAUACAGGUGUUUGGCCUCCGGGGGGCAGACAGACAUUGUGUAGAAAAGUCAACUCUUUGAAGAAUGUGCUUCUCUAAGCAUUCAAUAUGUAGAAACAUUAUAAAGUGUUUGAUAUUACAAUCUAGCUAGG
ensembl:lncRNA